rnacentral:rRNA from 1 species
GUCCCAGUUCGGAUUGUAGUCUGCAACCCGACCUACAUGAAGCUGGAAUCGCUAGUAAUCGCGGAUCAGCAUGCCGCGGUGAAUACGUUCCCGGGCCUUGUACACACCGCCCGUCACACCAUGAGAGUCGGGAACACCCGAAGUCCGUAGUCUGACCGCAAGGGGGACGCGGCCGAAGGUGGGUUCGAUAAUUGGGGUGAAGUCGUAACAAGGUACC